GAGUAUGCAGUUCAGUGGUAGAGCACAUGCUUAACAUGCACAAGGUCCUGGGUUCGAUCCCCAGCACCUCG
rfam:Camelus ferus unplaced genomic scaffold scaffold2192, whole genome shotgun sequence.